rnacentral:pre_miRNA from 15 species
UAGAGUGGAACAUUUUAGAGAAUCAUCUCUCCCAGAUAAUGGCGCUCUCAAACAAGUUUCCAAGUUGUUUGAAAGGCUAUUUCUUGGUCAGAAGACUCUCAAUUCCUUCUGGAAGCCUC